rnacentral:rRNA from 1 species
GACGAACGCUGGCGGCGUGCUUAACACAUGCAAGUCGAACGGAAAGGCCCUGCUUUUGUGGGAUGCUCGAUUGGCGAACGGGUGAGUAACACGUGAGUAACCUGCCCUUGACUUUGGGAUAACUUCAGGAAACUGGGGCUAAUACCGGAUAGGAGCUCCUGCUGCAUUGUGGGGGUUGGAAAGUUUCGGCGGUUGGGGAUGGACUCGCGGCUUAUCAGCUUGUUGGUGGGGUAGUGGCUUACCAAGGCUUUGACGGGUAGCGGGCCUGAGAGGGUGACCGGGAACAUUGGGACUGAGCUACGGCCCAGAGUCCUAAGGGAGGCAGCAGUGGGGAAUAUUGCAUAAUGGGCGGAAGCCUGAUGCAGCAACGCCGCGUGCGGGAUGAUGGCCUUCGGGUUUUAAACCGUUUUCGCCUGUGACGAAGCGUGAGUGACGGUAAUGGGUAAAGAAGCACCGGCUAACUACGUG